rnacentral:rRNA from 1 species
UACGGGGGGGGCAAGCGUUGUUCGGAAUUACUGGGCGUAAAGGGCUCGUAGGCGGCCAACUAAGUCAGACGUGAAAUCCCUCGGCUUAACCGGGGAACUGCGUCUGAUACUGGAUGGCUUGAGAUUGGGAGAGGGAUGCGGAAUUCCAGGUGUAGCGGUGAAAUGCGUAGAUAUCUGGAGGAACACCGGUGGCGAAGGCGGCUCACUGGACCACAACUGACGCUGAGGCGCGAAAGCUAGGGGAGCAAACAGG